CAUACAUUAUGAACUGUGGUGAUUUUGCCCUUUCCCUUACAGAAACACAGCAGUUUGUCUUACGGGAAGAUUGUCAAUAUUCCCUGUCGUUACUCCUCGGCAUAGUCUAUGUGACUGGCUGACUCCUCUGCUGCCACACUUCACACCAUGGUGGACUGUGUACCAUCCUAACUCUAAGCCAAAACAAACCCAUCUCCCCUCUAGCUGUUUCUUGUUGGUUAUGACAAUGAGAAAAGUAAGAAGUGCACCAUGUAUCCCGGGUCAGACAGGCAACAUCCUUAAUGAGGAUAAAGACUAAGAUCCUAUGUGUGAUCACUGGAAAGCUAACGAUAGCCACGGACGAAAGACACUUCACCACAGGAAUGCACAGAGGAACCUUCUGCUGGGGCCCCAGUGCGGCAUCAGCACAGAAGUGACAAUGAUGAAGGACAAUGAGCUGGAGCAGAAGGACAGAAGGACCUUUUGAAUCACAAGAUGAUCAGUAUCUACCUUGUUCUAUAAAGGGUGUUGGGCAACUACCAACUUACACGAAAAUAGCCAGCUAUACAAAUCUACUUGCUGUUUAAAUCAACAAUGUCUACACGUAAGCAUAGUUCGGGAAUUCCAUCCACUCCAAAGAGAUAAGAGAAAGACCUUGAUAAGAUAAAGAGAGCUGUAAACAGGAGGAAUGCGCCUGCUGCCAAGGCACUCCCUGCCUGCUCCCCAGGCCAAGUACUAGGACAGAGGCCUGCCUUGGGUACUUGGUUUUAUGACUGCCAGUCUAAUGUAGUCCAUCCUUUGAAGCUAAUCUUUCUUUAUCCACAUCCUUCAUCUUCCUUUAGCCCUUGUUUGCUUCUUUCUCCAGGCCAGCUGCGUUUGCCAGCACCUUAAAGUUGUGUGUUCUGAAAAAUACAGCUUGAGACUGGGUGAGCGAAUUCAAUUUGCUGGUUCACUAAUGAUUUAGACCAUUUUCAAAUAGAAAACAUUAGUGUAGCCUGCAUGUAGUAAAGGCAAGUACUGUUCUGUGAAACUUGGGCAUCUAUCUAUCUAUCUAUCUAUCUAUCUCAUUAGAAAUACAGACAAAUUGCAAUACAUUGUGUGCAGGUGCUUUGCUGGCAUACCCUAGAAUUACAACAUGCCAGUGUCCAAAAACCUGACUGAGAAGCAAAGUUAUCCAACAAAUACUGCAUUAACACAGUUCUGACCUGCUGUGCCAGCCCAUCACCUACCUGCCAUCCGUGCCUGGCUACAACUCAGCAAAGUGCACAGGGUUACCCUGGCUUUCUGAACAGGAUGGCAACUGAAUUUAUAGUCCGCCUACUUCUGUU